rnacentral:tRNA from 1 species
GGCGCGGUGGCUGAGCGGUAAAGCCUUGGAUUCCGAACCGAAGGUCUCAGGUUCGAAUCCUGGUGAAGUCU